AUUGUCUGGUUUUAGUAUUGGGAUAAUACUGGCCUCAUAAAAUAAGUUGGGAUCUAGAAGAGAUUACAUAAAGUUGGUGUUAAUUCUUUAAGUAUAUGGUAGAAUUCUCCAGUAAAACCGUCUGGGCCUGGUGAUUCCUUUUGGGGAGGUCUUUACAUUAUGAAUUAAAUUCUUCAGUAGCUAUAGGACUAUUCAGAUUCUCUCUUUCAUAUUGAGUGAAUUGUGGUAGUUCAUCAUUUUUGAAGAAUUGGUCUGUUUCACCUAAGGUUCAUUCCUUCUUUUAUGACUUGAUGACUACUCUGUAUUUGAAGAACCUCCUUUAGUCAUUCUUUAAGGGUAGGUCUUCUAGCAACAAAAGUUAAAGUUUUCCUUCAUGUGAGACUGUCUUUAUUCGUCCAUCAUUCCCAAUGAAUGAUUUUGCUGGAUAAAGAAUUUGCACUUGACAGUUCUUUACUUUCAGCACUUGAAAAAUAUUGCAUCACUUCCUUCUGGCCUUGGUGGAUUCAGAUGAGUAUCCACAUUGGUGUUUUCCUGUAGGUAAUCUAUUGUUUCUCUGGCUACUUUCAAGAUUUUUCUCUGUAUUUAGUUUUGAGAAGUUUAUGAUGUAUUCUGGUGUGGAUUUCUUUGAGUUUACUUUAUUUGGAAUUUGUCAUCUUUUUGACUCUGUAGAUUUAUGUCUUGCAGCAAAUUUGGGAUGUUUUAAGCCAUUAUUUCUUAAAAUACUCUUUCAGUCCACUCUCUUUCUCCUAUCCCUCUAGGAUUCCAAAAAUAAGAUUAUUGGACAUUUUCUUACUGUUCCACAGGUGCCUGUUAAUUUUUUUUUUUCAGGCUUUUUUCUCUCUCAUUGUUUUUUUUUCCUCACUCAAGUUGUAAUUUUCCUGAUUCUUGGUCUGAUGGUCUGAUGAGUGAUUUUUCCAUUGUAUUCUGGACACUUUGGCUAUUAUGUUAGGAGUUUCUAAAUUCUAUUUAAAUUUUUUAUUCUUGAAGACAGUCAUACUGUUUAGGUUUAGUAUGUUAGAUCCAGGCUACAUAGACUGCAUCUCUGUAUGUAGAUCUUACCAAUUCAUUGGUAAUUUAAUUUUUAAGCCUGGUGCCACUGGGACUCACACUGGCCUGCUGGUACUGCCUGAGGGAGCAGAAGUAGUUCCCUUGAGAUGGAGGGAGAGUGUCUCAUUCCUAGGCACAGAGAUGCUUUCUGUGCUUGGCUGUUGUGUUGAGAUUCACCUUACGGGUGCUGCCCAGAUGCCCAGUGUCUCUGGAUGGGGGAGGGAGUCCCUAGCCUGUGGAAACAAAGGCUCAGUAUUGUUGUGGGGGGAUUCCUCCUGCAGGUGCUGCCUGGCCGCCUGGUCCCUCUAGGUGGAGAGGGGAAUCUUAGGCCGUGUGGGGGGCGGGGGCAGGAAUAUUCCAAGAAUCUCUUUGUGGUGGAAUUCUCCUUAUUGGAGUCACCUCCUUCCCUCCCCCACCACGUUUCUCUGUGCAGGUUAGAAUUCUUACCUGACUGGGAGGCGAAUGCUUCUCCUGGCCACUUACCAUCAGCAGUGGUCCCCAUCAGUCCCCAUUGCUUAGCUCACAUGGUGUUGCCAACAGGACUCCCUUUUGAUUCAGGGGAGGAACAAGCCUACCUGGGCCUCCUUCUGUUGCUAGGUUGAGAAUCAGGAAACGCCGGGCCUGGGCCGCCUUUUGCUCUUGAGCAGGAGACCCUAAGGCACCCUGCUGCUCUGCUGUCCCUUGAGUCCCAGGGUCCCUAGCCAUCUACCUUCCUCUGCGCAGCUUUCACAAUUCUUUGCUUGACUCUUGCCUUAUUUCUAGGGUUGGUAGUUGCACUUAAUGGGGAGGAGCUCAGGGAAAAAGCAUCCAUGCCAUCUUGUUCGGACUCAUAUACUUUUUGUUUAGCUUUCAUUCUCCUUCUGUAUUUGUUUUUCCUCCUGUAUUUGAAAAGCUUUGCGAAUGCUCCUGCGAGCAAGUGGUAUCCUCUUGCUCUAGGGUACAGAUGUAUCUGACCAAGGUGAAAACUCCAGGAGCAUUUAUUUUGCUAGUGAGGAGUAAUUUCAUUGUAAAAAUACAAAAACAAAAGUCUAAGCCCCCAUGCAUGAGAGAAUAAAGGGGAGGGGGUGCCGCAGCCCCUCUGUGGGGAUGUUGGGCUAAGCUGGCAUGCCCACUCCUCUCUGGCACUGCGCCUGUGGUCAGUGCUUGUCCUGACCGAAGGGGAGGGUUAUGGCCAUCUGGCCUUCCAGUUUCAGUGGCUUGAAGCAGAGCCCAGGAGCCCUCAGUCAGGGGACUAUCUUUGGAUUAUCUCAAGGUAAUUCUUAUAUUUUGGGUGCUGAAAAGGAAUGGAAAAAUGUGUGGAAAUCACUUCAAGAUUAGCGGGAGUUAGUAGAGAAGCAGAUGAGAUCUCUACCUGAUGGACUUUUUUGCUUGUUUUCCCUAUAAAAAUGGACGCUUACAUUGCUUUCUGCGUGGAAAUAUAACCCAGCACCAAAUUUGUCCUGUCAGGCAGGAUGUGGUCCAUUAGUCAGACCGGUUCCAUUAUACACUGUAUUGUAGAGGAAACAGUUUUGUUUCUCCUCCUUCUCUCAGAUCCUUUCUCUAAUGUUGAGCAGGUAGGAAGAUGUGAGAUGCCUGGAUUGCCUCUGGGUUCUGAAUGGUUUGGGUCAAGCAAAGCAACUUUGGAUCCGUUUUUUAUUUUACCCAGAAUUGCGCUUAAUUCUUCUGAUAGAAGAAGCUGUUGACCAUUCCUCGCUUUGCAGAAGUCCGUGGAGUUGAAGGUGCCUUAAGGAAAGAAUCUGAAAUACAUUGAUUCUGGCUCUACUCAUUUAAUGGCUAAACAAUGGCUAAACAAUUGAUUAAGUUUCUGUAUUUUCUGUUUUGUGUAAGACAUUUUCAUUUUAAAUGAAAAUGAGUUUGAUACUAAUACAGGUGGCUGGACAUAUUGUCAAUUUAAGUAUCUAAAAAAACUAACCUUUGAUUGUCCUUCAUGUCCUCAUGCUAAGCAGUCACUACUUUUGAGCUAUUUAAAUAUGUUCUAAAUAUCUACCACCAUGUUUUCAAAAUCCUAACUGCCAUUGGCGUGACCCCCUGGGACUCAGAUUCCUCUGUGGGGUGGGUCUUGUGUGCCCUGCGCUGAGGGGCUCUCACGCUGCAGACGAGGCUUUCUCGUGGUUAGGACUUGGGUCUGAGUCCAUGGGAUGGUUUUGAAUCUGCUUCCACUGUUGACUUUGGGCCUGGGUGAGUGUGACCUCCCCGGCCUCCGUUUCCUCAUCCGUAGGCAAGGGGAGUACAGCACUUGUGUGUCAAGGUGCUGCCAGUACCAAAUGCAACAAUGGAUGCAAAGCAUGCGAAGCAUGCAAAGCGCUGAGGCCAUCAUCCUGCUUCUGGCAACACAUGGGACUGUUGGGUGGUGGAUGGUUACUGUCACUGCGAGUUGGGGUUCUUUUUGGGGGUGGAUGGUUACUGUCACUGUGCGACCAAAGGAAAGUAAGUGUGACCGUGGGAAUGAAAAUAAAGACUUAGAGAUAAAGCGCCCUUGGCGUUGUUACCCAUCACCAGGAUCUUGAUACUCCGGACAGGUGAUAAAAAUACCACCUCUGAAUGCUCAGCUUGCUGCCUCCUUGCCCUGAGUGGCCGUCUGGCUCUGAGACCUGUUUUCCACCACCUCGGAUGCUGGCCCCCGCCCUGCUUCCCGCAGGGGGAGACUUCUCCUCAGCCUCUGUGGUUACGCUCUUCAAAGCAGCGGUCACAUUAGCCAUUGGACACUCAGGUUCCCCAUCUGAUCUGUUUCUAAAAGGUAUGGCUUUAAAGAGUGGGCAUUUGUUUUUGUUUUUGUUUUUUGUCUGUUUGCCUUUUCCAGGGCUGCUUCCCUCGGCCGGUGGAGGUUCCCAGGCUAGGGGUCGAAUUGGAGCCGUUGCUGCCGGCCUACACCUCAGCCACAGCCACACCAGACCCGAGCCGCGUCUGCGACCUACCCCACAGCUCACGGCAACGCCGGAUCCUGAACCCACUGAGCGAGGCCAGGGAUCGAACCCGCAACCUCAUGGCUCCUCGUCGGAUUCGUUAACUACUGUGCCACGUGGGGAACUCCCCAAGAGUGGGCAUUUGUGAUGACCGAUUUUGCUGUACUUUGUUAUGAAGAGAAGAUGAUGUUAAUACCUAAUGAGUAAUGAAAAAUCAAUUAAAUUCAUUUAGGGAAAUUAAAGUGCUGACAAACUCAUAAUGGCUCUUCUGUUGUUAAAUGAGAUUGACAUGGAUUAACAGUUGGUGGUGGACAGAAACCUGCUGAAUUUCCUGGAGUAUAUUUCCAUUAAAAUGACAGCUGUGUGGGAGAGCUGUCACCAGGGCAUUUAGUUAUGGGGCCCGGGAGUGUGAAGGAGAGAAGUAAUCAGAUGAGACACCUUGUACUUAAUUUUAAUUAGGUACAUUCCCCUUCACGCUGUAAUCACUUAAACUCAGUCACGGAUGGUGUAGAAGCCAGCGGCCGGCCAUCUUACUGUCUCACUCUGUGUUCUUUUU
rnacentral:lncRNA from 1 species